rnacentral:rRNA from 1 species
UACGUAGGGUGCGAGCGUUAAUCGGAAUUACUGGGCGUAAAGCGUGCGUAGACGGUUAUUUAAGUCAGAUGUGAAAGCCCCGGGCUCAACCUGGGAAUUGCAUUUGAGACUGAAUAGCUAGGGUACGGUAGAGGGAAGCGGAAUUUCCGGUGUAGCGGUGAAAUGCGUAGAUAUCGAGAGGAACACCUGCGGCGAAGGCGGGUUGCUGGGCUGACACUGACGCUGAUGCGCGAAAGCCAGGGGAGCGAACGGG